AACGUGGCUCUUCUGCCAGUUCAUUCGGCGGGUCCCCGACUCCACAGCAUGGACUGAGUAUUGCUCUGCAGCCCAGGCCGGAGUGCAGUGGCACGAUAUUGGCUCACUGCAACCUCCGCCUCCCAGGUUCAAGAGAUUCUUAUGCCUCAGCCUCCUGAGUAGCUGGAACUACAGGCAUGCGCCACCAUGCCUGGAUAAUUUUUGUAUUUUUAGUAGAGAUGGGGUCUCACCAUGUUGGCCAGGCUUGUCUCGAACUCCUCACCUCAAGUGAUCCACUUGCCUUGGCUUCCUAAGAAGUGUAAGUCCUUGUCCAUGCUCUGGAUCUGUGCCAAUUCCUACAGCUUCUUCUGGUUGGCAUCCAAAGCCCUGAAUAUCAUCAUCCAAAGAGAGAAACAGUGCGAUCUGAUGACAUGCAGUUCUGUAAUAUCCUGUUGGUUACAAUCAGUUCUGACAUAAAGUAUUUAUGGGAUAGAUAAGAUCAGUUCAAGAUCAUAAAGUAUUGAAAGGUGGAUAUACUAGAGGUAGACAAGAGGUUUGGGAGGAUAAAUCAUGGCUUCCCGCUGUUCAUUUCCCUUUGUCCAAUGCCAUUAAUAUGCAUGUGAUACCCAGAGAGUGAAAGAUUUAUUUCCCAUUCAGCUUAACUACACAAACAUUUAUUCAUUAAGCACCUAUUUUCUGAUACGUUCCAUAGCAGGCAGUCAGUGAAAUGAGGUAUUUGGAAAAAUAAUUUUGUUUCUAAUACAGUAAGAAAUUAGUAGUUCGACUUUCCUAGCAUGACAACUUUGUAUUAAUACCUGUGAGUUAUUAGGUAGAAUAUAGAGAUGAAUGUGACAUAGUCAAAAAGCUUGAGGUCUUCUGGAAGAGACAAAAUAUGUGUUUAUUCAUUCAAUAAAUAUUUAUUGAGCAUUUAUUAUGUACCUCC
rnacentral:lncRNA from 1 species